GGAGAAAGAAGACAGCCAUCAUUUGAAAGGUAAAGCUUCAGCGACUGAAGGAGUGUGGACUUUUUGAAUUUCAAGAACAGUAAAGUUGGAACACAGCAGAGGGUGUGUAAUAAAAUACAGGUCAGAGCCUGGUCCAAAAGGUAUAGAGAAUUGGCAGUUACCCACAAGUCUGCCCCAAAGAGGUUCUUUCCAACCACCUGCCACACGUGACGACAGCAUGUACGAUCCCUGAAUGGGCCCGUGGGCAUAUUUAGUCAUUCAUUUUUGAUCA
rnacentral:sRNA from 1 species